rnacentral:rRNA from 1 species
UCUGAUCAGCCAUGCCGCGUGUAGGAAGACUGCCCUAUGGGUUGUAAACUACUUUUAUAGAGGAAGAAACAGUUCCACGUGUGGAACUCUGACGGUACUCUACGAAUAAGGAUCGGCUAACUCCGUGCCAGCAGCCGCGGUAAUACGGAGGAUCCAAGCGUUAUCCGGAAUCAUUGGGUUUAAAGGGUCCGUAGGCGGGUCUGUAAGUCAGUGGUGAAAGUUUUCGGCUCAACCGGAAAAUUGCCAUUGAUACUGCAGGUCUUGAAUCAUUAUGAAGUGGUUAGAAUAAGUAGUGUAGCGGUGAAAUGCAUAGAUAUUACUUAGAAUACCGAUUGCGAAGGCAGAUCACUAAUAAUGUAUUGACGCUAAGGGACGAAAGCGUGGGUAGCGAACAGGAUUAGAUACCCUGGUAGUCCACGCCGUAAACGAUGGUUACUAGCUGUUCGGACUUCGGUCUGAGUGGCUAAGCGAAAGUGAUAAGUAACCCACCUGGGGAGUACGUUCGCAAGAAUGAAACUCAAAGGAAUUGACGGGGGCCCGCACAAGCGGUGGAGCAUGUGGUUUAAUUCGAUGAUACGCGAGGAACCUUACCAGGGCUUAAAUGUAGUAUGACAGGUUUAGAGAUAGACUUUUCUUCGGACAUAUUACAAGGUGCUGCAUGGUUGUCGUCAGCUCGUGCCGUGAGGUGUCAGGUUAAGUCCUAUAACGAGCGCAACCCCUGUUGUUAGUUGCCAGCGAGUAAUGUCGGGAACUCUAGCAAGACUGCCGGUGCAAACCGCGAGGAAGGUGGGGAUGACGUCAAAUCAUCACGGCCCUUACG